UUUGUACUUGUAACCAUCUUACAAGUUUUGCCAUGCUAAUGGAUGUCUACCAGAAUGAAAGAGAUGUAAAACAUAGUCAAAUGUUGUCUAUUCUUUCUAACAUUGGUUCCGGAAUAUCAUUUGUCUGUGUCAUUCUGACAGCAAUAGUUCAUGUUUAUUUCAAAAAUCUAUGGAA